CAUAGUUAUGAUGAUUUUAUACCGCCCCAGGCUGAAUAUCAUGUUGAAGGUUUUAUCUGAAUGAU
rnacentral:snoRNA from 1 species